rnacentral:rRNA from 1 species
GGAUUAGAUACCCUGGUAGUCCACGCCGUAAACGAUGUCUACUAGCCGUUGGGGUACUUGAUACCUUAGUGGCGCAGCUAACGCGAUAAGUAGACCGCCUGGGGAGUACGGCCGCAAGGUUAAAACUCAAAUGAAUUGACGGGGGCCCGCACAAGCGGUGGAGCAUGUGGUUUAAUUCGAUGCAACGCGAAGAACCUUACCAGGCCUUGACAUCCAGAGAACUUUGUAGAGAUACAUUGGUGCCUUCGGGAACUCUGUGACAGGUGCUGCAUGGCUGUCGUCAGCUCGUGCCG